CUAGCUGGUCUGAGAGGAUGACCAGCCACACUGGAACUGAGACACGGUCCAGACUCCUACGGGAGGCAGCAGUGGGGAAUAUUGCACAAUGGGCGCAAGCCUGAUGCAGCCAUGCCGCGUGUAUGAAGAAGGCCUUCGGGUUGUAAAGUACUUUCAGCGGGGAGGAAGGGAGUAAAGUUAAUACCUUUGCUCAUUGACGUUACCCGCAGAAGAAGCACCGGCUAACUCCGUGCCAGCAGCCGCGGUAAUACGGAGGGUGCAAGCGUUAAUCGGAAUUACUGGGCGUAAAGCGCACGCAGGCGGUUUGUUAAGUCAGAUGUGAAAUCCCCGGGCUCAACCUGGGAACUGCAUCUGAUACUGGCAAG
rnacentral:rRNA from 1 species